rnacentral:snRNA from 1 species
GUGUUCCCUUUCGCAGCACAUAUACUAAAACAGAAUGAUACAGAAAUUAGCAUGGCCUCUGUGCACAUUCAUGAGGCCUUUCAUAUUUUA